UCCCAGCUGCUUCCUAAAAGGCAAAUAUUAAACAAGCUUGCAGUACUGAGGCAAAAAGUCUGGCAUCUGAAUUUGUGGGUGCUACUUUUAUGGAAGAAGACAACAUAAACACAUAAACAAAAACUUUAAUUACAAGAGGUGAUAAAAUUAGGAGAGCCAAAGAAUAAACAAUUUCUAUCCUCAAAUUAAGCUCCAGCUCCAGAAAGGUACAAAAAAGAGAGAUCAAAAUUUACUUCAAUCUAGCUGAAUGUGAUCUAAAACUUACUAACAAAAAAAGAAAACUAAAUUUAGAGCAUCUGGCUAUAAUGUAGUUACACUCAAAUACUCUCUUAUACUGUAGCUAUCUUCUGGCAAGCUGCUUGAGUUUGUGCUCAGCACUAGUGGUGGCUUUUAGCUUGGUGGAAGAGUAAUCAAGGUGUUCAGCUCAUAAUCUGAAUAUUGUGGGUUUGAGGUCGAGUUUGGAUCACUUUUCACAAGCAUCCAGCCAACACAGCUGCCCAUCCCUUCAAGGGUGGUAAAUAAGUAUGCAGGGACAAGCAAUUAAUCACAAAAUGAUACAGGCAGGGAGCAUGGAAAUACAUAACAAGGCAAUUCAGCUGCAUGGAACAGGUGGAAGCAUCUGGAUCCUGGUAAGGUAAUUUGAAUUUGAACAAGCUUAGAAACUCCAACAAACGAACGCAUAGAUAUAGCAAAAGAGAGAAAAGAUGUAUGUGUCAUAUAGGUCAUAUUUAGUGGAUUAUACUAAGUGAGAAAACAGUGGAAACAUGAGGGAUCAAGACAUCAAUGUAAUUAAAAGUACCACACCCAUUCCACAUCCACUCCACACCCAUUCCACAUCCAUUCCACACCCAUUCCACACCUAUUCCACAUUCAUUCCACACCCAUUCCACAUCCAUUCCACACCCAUUCCACAUCCAUUUUACACCUAUUCCACGCCCAUUCCACACCCAUUCCACACCUUAUUUUCACUGUGAGUCAGAGCAUCAUAUUUGUUGGUAACUGGAAUAUGCUCUGAUUCUUCUGCGUUUUACCUUUGUGGUUCGUAUUAGAAUCAGACAGUGUUGAUAACUGCUAUCUACGAUCAAUACUGCAUAAAUGCUAAUCUACAUUCCGUUUAAAGAUUGAA